rnacentral:rRNA from 1 species
AGAGCUUGCUCUGGAUUGAAGGGGACGGGUGAGUGAACAUGUGCGCCUGCCCCUGACUCUGGGGGGUAGCCAGAGACGGCGGCUAAUACCGGAUAUGCAUGUCGGACGCAUGGGCUGUGGUGGGAAAGAUUUUCCUGUUGGUGUUGGUUUCGCGGCCUACCGCCUUGUUGGUGAUGUAUGGGCUCGUAACGGCUUACCAUCCCUACCAUGUCUGACAGGGUGACCGGCCACACUGGGACUGAUACACGGCCCAAACUCCUACGGGAGGCAGCAGUGGGGAAUAUUGCACAAUGGGCGGAAGCCUGAUGCAGCCAUGCCGCGUGAAUGAUGACGGCCUUCGGGUUGUAAACCACUUUUAGCAGGGAAGAAGGUAAAAUGACGGUACCUGCUUAAAAUUCGCCGGCUAAUUACGUGCCCUCACCCGCGGCUCCGUGUUAGGCGCAUGCCUUAUCCGGAAUUAUUGGGCGUAUAGAGCUCGUAGGCCGUUUGUCUCGUCUGCUGUGAAAACCCGAGGCUCCUCUUCGGGCCUGCGUUGGGUACCGGGCACUGCGUGCAGUAUGGCAGAUUGGAAUUCCAGGUGUAUCGGUGGAAUGCGAAGAGAUCUCCAGGAAUACCGAUGGAUAAGGAGGAUCUCUGGUGCGUUACUGACGCUGAUGAAAAAAGCUGGGGCAGCAGAGAGGCUUAGAUACCAUGGUAGCGAUUCCAUACACAUUGGGAACUCUGUGUGUCCGACGUUCAACUGUCUCUUGUACGCUGCUAACGCGUUCUAUGCCCCUACUGCGGAGUAUAGACGGUAUGCUCACCUCAGCGGAAG